UUGGAGGGCAAGUCUGGUGCCAGCAGCCGCGGUAAUUCCAGCUCCAAUAGCGUAUAUUAAAGUUGUUGCAGUUAAAAAGCUCGUAGUUGAAUUUCGGGAUUGACGUGACGGUCAUGCCUUAAGGGGUAUGAACUGUUACUGUUGAUUUCUCACCUUCUGGAGAAACUUGAUGUCCUUUAUUGGGUGUCUUGCGGAUCCAGGACCUUUACCUUGAAAAAAUUAGAGUGUUUAAAGCAGGC
rnacentral:rRNA from 1 species